UGGAGUUGUUCUGAUGCUCAAUCAUUUCUUUCUAGAUAUCAUCAUGCCACACCAUUUAUAAUGAGGCCAGCAUUCUCUAUGUUGCACUAAAUCUCCAGAGUUUAGUCUGGGUAUCCAUAGGCCAUAUAGCUUAAAUUGUCAAAAUGUAAGCUAUACAAAGUAGAGAAACUGCAUGACAUUUAUCCUGCCUGUCACUUCUGCAUAAAUAAAUGUAUUGGCUUGCUUCAUACAGGAUGAUCCUCGGCUGCUGAAGCCAGAACUGAAAAACAGCUGCAUUCUGCUAUAGCCUCAAAGCUUUGCACAGCCAAUCAUAAGCUUUAGGAUUUGAAUGGAUGUACAUAAAUAUGUUAAGAGGUAGCGUUUCAUAGAAAUCAAAGCAAUGGGGAGGCAUCUAUCUGGGGAGACACACUAUUUGAAAGACUUCUCAGUUUCCAUUACAGUCGCAGGUUUUUGUGCCAAGAAUAUACAUGAAGUUCUGGAACAUCAUAAAAAAAUCUGCCUUUUUUAAAACAUGAGGGGCAUGGACUAAGCAUUUUCUUCCCAGCUGCAGCACAAGAAGCACUGUGCUCUGAAAACAUGGAUUCUGCUAGACCUGCAUUAAAAAAAACAAACAACAAAAAACAGUGACCAUAAAAUCCUUUUUCAUCAUUUAAAGGAAAUAGUUGAACACUGAGUAAGAUGGAAUCUUUUUCAGCACUCCUUUUUCACUUUUAUCAAUCUGCUGUUCUUCACAGAUCCAACCUGCAGCUGUAGGGAAUAUGGUUGGAUAAAGGACAUUUAUCCCUUCCCUUCUCCAACAGUUUUGCUGACAUUCCUCUUUUUCGGAAAUUUAGGGAAACAUCUAACAGCUUCAUUGGAAAACAGCUUCAUCUGGAAUUGCAAGGAGAGAAACACGCAUCUCCUAGGAUACCAAACUCUGUGAAAGGACAGUGUGCAUGUGGAAGUGGAAGAUGUCAAAAGGAGAUGAUAUGGAGAAAGAAGAAAUCUACUGUUCAACGAAAUCGAGAUAUUUUAAGGAAUCCUUAUGAACAGUCAAUCUUGAUAAAAUAUUAAUCAUGUGCAUGGAGAAGAAUCUGUGUCAGUGGAUCACGUCUCUUUUAUAUGAAGCUGAAGGGGGCAGUGAAAAAAAGAAUCUGUUGCAUCUGUGUCACCGUUCUCAUUUCUUCAAACUCCCACAGAAAUCCUUUUACAAAUCUAAAACUGCAAACAUGGGGAAGGAAGUCUGCAGUGAAAGAAUCACCCCAUCUCAGAAGACCACAACGAUUUCACAGGAGGGGCAGUACAGCCUGAAGCUCUGGACUUUUUCAGCAGUGGUCUUUUGUGUUGUGCAGCCUCCUAAGGAAGCAGCAAUAGAAGAUUAUAAAAGAGCUCCUCUGGAAAUGCUUCAUCAGGAACGAGGGAAAACCCAGAAGACUAUUUGGUGUUAAUGAACAAACACAGAAAAAAUGGUAAAGGUACAUUGCAUGCCUUUUGGCUUUUGUCAUCCUUCAGAACAAAGGAUUCAUGGAUGCUAUGCUAACUGAAAGAAUUAAUUACUUUAGAAGUCUUCAUUAAUCAGAAAAAAAAUAAUGCCAUUGAUUUUAAUUCCAAAGCUAAGUUAGCACUAUAUUGGUAAUAUGAUAAUAUAAUUUGGCUGUUACUUUGAUAACUAUGCUCUCAAUAUUUCCCUCCAUACAAUGCCAGAGCAAAUAACAACACAUGUGUUUAAGCAGGUCAACAGCCUCUUGUACAAGGAUCCUUUUCUUUAUAUAUUUCUGGUUCUCUAUCAAACUAAAUCUGACACCUAGUAGUGCUUCUUCUUCAGACAUCAAAUCCACAUUCAUAUACGAUCAUAACAGUAUCAGUCCAAUAAUCCACAUGAUCUAGCAUGUUGUAUUUUCACAUGACAGAAAACUAUGUUAUUAACAUAGAUGUUUCUACACCCAAGUGAUAUUUUUGAAUACAAAUUUAUAAUAUUAUUUUAGGUUCUAUCCUUAUAGUGUUUGGCUACCUAAAUAUAUACAGAUCCACUCAAACUCACUACAAUGAGAGAAACCGUGAUUUUAAAACAAACUUUUUGUGUAGAUAGAUCUGUGCUGCUAGACCUUGAAAUAUUGAUAUAAUGGAUGGCAUUAAGGGAGAAGAGUUUUCCAACUUAUUUAUGACCCUCGAAAUGCCUAAAAACAAUGUCAUAUAUAUGUCACUGUAUAGUUGAAGUUUCCUUCCAGGCAUUUUAAGUAAUGCUUAUAAGUUGCUUCCACUUCUGGAUAACUUUCAAGGCUUGGAAAGACUAUAACAAGAUGCAAUGUCCUUUGAAGGUUACUGCAGACAUGAUAGCCUUCCUAUUUUAUGUUAUUCAGAAGACUCUGCCAGCUGCAGACAGUUUGGGAUGAGUGGCUUAGAUGAAAGUUGUUAUCAGAAUCGCUUAAUGAUAUUUAAUUGGUGUUUUAAAUUAAUAUUAAGGUUUGCAGAAUUUUGCCCACAAUAAAAUAAAAGCUGUUAACCUGUCAGAAUGAUUCAUGUGCCAAAGGUCCAUUGGAAACAAGGCAACUUUAUUUCAAGUGUGUGAAUCUUCUGCUUGGUUAGUAGUGCCUGAAAAAACACUUUUAAUAAACAUUUAACAAAUGGGGACAGCAUGAGAAAAGUCAUAAAUCCAAAAUUUUCUACAGCUAUCCAAUUAAUAAAUUCAUGACCAAAAUGCGACGGAGGAAUAAAUAAAUAAAUAAAUGACUGGCUGGGUAGAUUGUCUAUUUUAUUCUAAACAGAAUUUAGAAUUAAUUGCUAAAUAGAAAAAUAUAUCUGUGUUUAUAUGCGUACAGAUUUUCUGAAUAUUUCUUUUUAAACGUAGUGUAAAUUAUUGAUUAUUUGUGAUAAAAGUGUCAAAACUCACUGUAUUCAGUAAUGCAUUAAUAUAAAAGUAGAAACGUGAUUCAAUAUCUAUUUGGCUAUAACUAUUGAUGUAGAUUACUGUUAUCUCUAUAUUAUUUAUGAAUCUGACAAUGUAACAAUUUCUAACAUGCAUAUAACAAUAUAACAUGCAUAUAUGCUUAAUCCACGUAGUCUGAAUGACUCAUGCAACUAUUGAAACUGUUAGGGAUAGCAUUAUAAAUUGAGAUACAUGAUCAAACUAUAACAAUAAAAUUGUAUAAAUGUUUUAAGUGUAAGUUUGUCAUAUGUUUAGAAUAAUAAGCAACUUACAGUUGCUAGGCUUAAUAAAGAAGAUACUACUAGGAGAGAUU